UGAAUUCUUUAUUGACUUUAGCAGGCAAGC
rnacentral:piRNA from 1 species